CAUAGCAUUGGUGUGGCACACCGGGAUUUAAAAUGUGAGAAUGCAUUGUUGGAUCAUGGGGUACUCAAACUGACCGACUUUGGAUUUGCCAAACUAGUUCCAACCACCCACAAAGAGCUGUCACAAACAUUCUGUGGUAGCACAGCGUAUGCAGCACCUGAGAUACUACAAGGUAAGCCCUACGACAGUCGAAAGGGAGACAUAUGGAGUAUGGGUGUUGUACUCUAUGUCAUGCUCAGUGGAAGUCUACCUUUUCAGGACAGCAACAUCCCUAAAAUGCUCUUGCAUCAGCAGAAAGGUAUAACUCUUCC